rnacentral:rRNA from 1 species
UACGGGGGGAGCAAGCGUUGUUCGGAUUUACUGGGCGUAAAGGGCGCGUAGGCGGCGUGACAAGUCACUUGUGAAAUCUCCGGGCUUAACUCGGAACGGUCAAGUGAUACUGUCGUGCUAGAGUACAGAAGGGGCAACUGGAAUUCUCGGUGUAGCGGUGAAAUGCGUAGAUAUCGGAAGGAACACCGGUGGCGAAAGCGGCGCGCUGGAUCCCUACUGACGCUGAGGCACGAAAGCCAGGGGAGCAAACGGG